CUUUUUGGGGUUUUCUUUUAUAAAUAAUUUACAACCAAUUUGAGUUUUAAUCGAAUUGGUGGUGUCUUGCAAUAGUUGGGGUUGUAGGUUUUUGAUUAUCAAUUCAAUUCUGAAAAAAAUUGUUCAUUCUCAACUCUGUUUGAUUGAUUAAAGCGAAAGUAAUAUCUCUUGACGAGAAAGUGCUUUCAAGAAAAAAACGCUCUCACACUUAAACCCGUUUAUUUUCUGGUUUUCUCUUCAAAUCAGAUCUAGCUCGGUAAUAUCAACAAAAUCGAAUACCCAAAGAAACAAUCUAUUAAUCCGAUGUAGAAAGGAGAUGAUUCGCGAGUAGUUCCCCUCCGGGGUGCUGGCCUGGUCGCCGAACGGGAUCAAAUCAGGGUUCACCCUAUUGGGUUAGCUUGAUUCAUUUGGGUUGUUCAAUUUUUGGGUCGGUUAGUUUCAUCCUAGGAAAUGGAGAUUCCAGUUCUUUGUUAGGUUUCCAUUUGAUGUUUCGACUAUGAUUUUUCCGGUGGCUGUUAGAGUUGGUGUAUAUUUCAUCCGUGGUGGUUGUGAUAUGUUAAUGAAGAUUCAAUUUUUUGGAUUAAGAAGAUAAGGUUCAUAGUUUUAGUGCGAUGGUAAAGAUUUAUUUAGUUUCCCUGUUCAUUCGCCGGAGAAGAAGAUGUUUUUCAUUCUCCAUGGAAGAAGUGUGUUUCAAGUCGGCCGUGUUAGUGUUUGUUGAAUCGGUCUGUGUGAAAAUGGUUCUUGUUUUUCUUGGUUGCAAAGUUUUGCCUUGAAGGAAACAAAGAAAAGAAGAAAAAAAAAUUGACUCUUAAGUUUUUUGCCACGUAUUAGUGCUUUGCCACGUAUUAGUGCUUUAUGUGCGUAAAAAGAGCCCUUUUGGUCAAGUUAACCCAUCCUGUUUGAUAAGGUCUUUCAUAACUACCCGGUUUUUAUUUGUCGAAGGAAAUUAAUUUUAAAGUCUUAUUUCAAGGAGUUGUUUGUUUUGGUUCAUGGAGAAGAAGUAGUUACUUUUAUUUCAUUUUAUCGGAUGGUGCUUCAUCGUUCUUUAUCCAUAGUUUUGCUAGGUUUUUACCCUUUUGCAUUCACAACUGUCUUUGGUCUCUCUUUUGUCCCAGAUACAACACCUCGGUUUUGCAUCAACAGUUACGUAUUUUCAGCCAUUAGCACAUGUUUCUAUUAAACUCCUCACUACUAUUGUGUUCUAUCCUUGUAAGUGCUAUCCAAUAAAGCACAUUUUUUAAUAUCUUUAGUCCUUGUUGUCGUCAGUUGUAAUCUAGUUUGGAGUCUAUAAUUCCGUUUGCUUUUUGGUUACACUUUAGAAGCUUUAGUAAUAGCAUUAUUAGCCUUGUCUCUUAAAGGGAGAGAUUAGAAAGCGCUUUUCAGAGUACUUCUAGCUACCUCCGUAAUAGCAUUUUAGUUCUAUUCCCUUUAAUCCUUCAAGGGAAAAGACUGGAUUUUACCUCAAGACUCGAUCAAAGUUAAAGAUUCAUUGAAGUUAUGGAUCGAGCCGAAAAUCAAAGGAGUAGACGAAUAUCACUUGGGAAGCUCAACACAACAUCAAGAUACAAAAACAUGACUAACAACUUUAAUCGAUUGCAUCGAACAACUCUACCACCAUUUGAGAUUCCAUGGACACUGUUGUGUUCAUCAAAAGUACAGUUUUUUUUGUGGAAAGCAUUGACCAAAGAUCUUUGGACUUUCGACACCAACAUCCGCCCUCGAUGCAAUUCUGAUCCGAAGACUGUUAUUAUGCUCCCGUAUUCUGACAUUGAAAAUUUAUGGCUUACCAAUCUAAUUGUAAUUGAUGAAUCUUGGGAUAUCAUAUACCUUCUUGUAAUAGUCCCUUAAUAGUUUAAUGAAUUUCAUGCUUCAAAAAAA